rnacentral:tRNA from 1 species
UCCCUGGUGGCUCAAAUGGUAAAGCGUCUGCCUGCAAUGCGGGAGACCCUGGUUCGAUUCCUGGCUCAGGAA